rnacentral:rRNA from 1 species
UACGAAGGGGGCUAGCGUUGCUCGGAACCACUGGGCGUAAAGGGAGCGUAGGCGGGAGCCUAAGUUGGGUGUUUAAUUCCGGGGCCCAACCCCGGGCGUGCACUCAAAACUGGGUUUCUUGAAUAGGGGAGAGGUCGGUGGAAUUGGAGGUGUAGCGGUGGAAUGCGUAGAGAUCUCCAAGAACACCCGUUGCGAAGGCGGCCGACUGGACCCAUAUUGACGCUGAGGCUCGAAAGCAUGGGGAGCAAACAGG